rnacentral:lncRNA from 1 species
UAGCAAUUUGUUUAAUGCAUUCAUAACACAUUCUUAAAAUGUGAUGAGAACUCAAGAACACAGAAAGCUAUCCUUAGCCUCUGCAGACUGUCCCACAGGAAGAAAGAAACAUUCACCGGUGUGAACAGGUUUUCAAUGCAGAUCCAAAAAGGUUUGCAACUUGCCAGACUACAUUUCCAUAGAUGUAACCAGUCU